rnacentral:rRNA from 1 species
AUUGAACGCUGGCGGCAGGCCUAACACAUGCAAGUCGAGCGGAUGAAGGGAGCUUGCUCCUGGAUUCAGCGGCGGACAGGUGAGUAAUGCCUAGGAAUCUGCCUGGUAGUGGGGGAUAACGUCCGGAAACGGGCGCUAAUACCGCAUACGUCCUGAGGGUGAAAGUGGGGGAUCUUCGGACCUCACGCUAUCAGAUGAGCCUAGGUCGGAUUAGCUAGUUGGUGGGGUAAAGGCCUACCAAGGCGACGAUCCGUAACUGGUCUGAGAGGAUGAUCAGUCACACUGGAACUGAGACACGGUCCAGACUCCUACGGGAGGCAGCAGUGGGGAAUAUUGGACAAUGGGCGAAAGCCUGAUCCAGCCAUGCCGCGUGUGUGAAGAAGGUCUUCGGAUUGUAAAGCACUUUAAGUUGGGAGGAAGGGCAGUAAGUUAAUACCUUGCUGUUUUGACGUUACCAACAGAAUAAGCACCGGCUAACUACGUG